AUCUAAAGGAUAGCAUUUCAGGUAUCUUCAAAACACCUCUUAAAAUGAAUAUCAGUACUUGUUGAGACUCAGUUUCUGAAUUCACAAAAGGUAAAUCAAAUGGCUAUCCUUACUGAAUAAGUAUCAUAAUAAUCAUCAAUAUAAGAGAAUAGUUUUACAACUUAAAUCAAACCAUGCCUCAUGUGCAUUAAACCUCAACUACUAAUGAGCCUAUCAAGCCAACUAGAGUUCUACUCCAGCUUUGCUUAAAAUGUUAAUGAGCUCCUGUAUAAGAUAGAGUUGCUUAGUUUGUCAAUUGUCACGCAAUCAAUUGUGAAAGAAGUAGUUUGCAACCCUAGUUAACUCUCUUCAAUUUAGGAUCUCCUACCAUACUGGGGACUUCCUCAUUAACCCCUCAUUCCUUCCACUACACCAGAUCAGAAAACUGCAGACCAGAUGAAUUUAUAUUAGGUACGAAACCAAUCCCAGUAAAAACAAAAUAAAACUGAAAAUAAGGCACCUGGCCUGUGACAAAUUUUUAAAAGACGUGUUAUUCCAUGUGCAAAAGGCCACAUCAGAAUCAAAAGACUCCUUUUAUCCGGAGCAUUACAAAUUUUAAUGCAAUUCCCAGUUUUUCAUUUGACAAUCAACUAAUGAAUUAUGCAGGUAAGUCAGGUAUCCAGUUAGGUUGGGCAAGGAGACUUCGAAUAG
rnacentral:misc_RNA from 1 species